ensembl:lncRNA
CUCCCAGCGCCGUGUUCACCUGGACUAACCUGCUGGUGGUGGUGUCGGAGCUGUGCGGCUCGGAGCAGGACGCGCUGGACCUGGUGCCUCUGAUCACCAACGUGGUCUGGAGGAACAUCACCUGAUUGUGGGCGUGGUGGUGAUCGUGGACCCCGGCGUCAUCCCCAUCAACUCCCGCGGAGAGAAGCAGAGGAUGCACCUGAGAGACUCCUUCCUGGCCGAUCAGUUAGACCCCAUAUACGUGGCCUACAACAUGUGACGAGAACAUCUCCAGACCUUCACCUGCUUCACGCUCAGAUUGAGUUCUCAUCAUGGGCUGGGAAGUACAGCUUACACCCAGGCUGCUUCUCAUUUCUUAUUCGUGCGUCCUCGCCCCCUUUCCUCACGUCUUGGCUCCUCCCCCUCAGGAAGUUAGGAUGAAAGGAACCCAAGCUAGUCGAAUGGAACAUCCUCGCUCAGAUGGAGGACCCCGCUGAGCUUCAGGGAUCUGCUGUUAUGUUAUUGGAGUUUGAUUAAUAAUAAUGUUCUUAAUAAAGCUAAAUGCGCUGCUAGCAUGUGAAACGUCUGCGUUAUUCAACAAUGAAUUAAUAAACGAUCGUAUCUUUUGUGCGGCUGUGCCGGUCCGAAUCCACGAGGAUCGAUUCAUUACAAUGCUCGCUGUAAGCAUAUCAUUAUUUAGUUAUAUUUCACACGAAAUUCCAUCACGUCUUCUUUUUGUGUGAGAUUGUGUCAGAGGUAGAGGCGGAGGGGAGUUUAUACGUGCGUCAGGUCGCUCCUCGCCCCUCUGGAAGUUUCCUCGUUCCUCGCUGUGCAGUUAAAGAUGUUUGAUGUAGAUCACGGGUCACGGGCUGGAGGACGGAGGAGCGAGGAAGCAUCAGUUUGAGUAUCGACACGCAGCUCUUAACAUUUCCUACUACACCCUACUUCCUGUCCAGAACUCAAAUUGGUCACUUCCUGCCUGGAUACAAGAAGAUAUGAUGUUAGAGAUUAUAAAUAAAUAAACAAAUAAAUAGACAUUUUCAGAUAAAUGCAACGUUUGGGUUGAUGUAUAUGUGCAGCUUCCUGUUAAGCAGAGUAGGAUAUCAUAUCGUCUCGUAUGUAAAGAACAUUAUUAACUCUGCUCUUAUUUCAUUUCCAACUAAAGAGGCGGGACGCGGAGUGCUGGAGAAGGAACGGUAAAAAUACAGGCUGCGUCUCGAUACUCAAACCGAUGCUUCCUGGUUUCCUCGCUCCGCCGUCCUCCAGCCCGUGACCCGGAAAUCGAUCGGCGCGGUCAUUAAUGGUUCCUCUCUCCUCGCAGCUCAUCCUCGCAUCACGUCCUGAGGGGUGGAGCUAAGUUGCGAGGAAAGGAAACGAGUAUGCAGAAAUUGCUGAUCCCCGGACGAUCGUGUUUUUAAACCCGAAUGAAGGAGCUGAUUUUACAGUAAUGGUGUUUAGGGGCGUUGAGUACAGCGUGUGGUGCUGAGUUCAGACUGAAAUUCUGAUAUCGGUUCAGCGGUCUCAGUUCAGCGCGGUUCUGAUCCGAGGUGUAGGUAGAACCGUUUAAAAAAAAAAAAAAAAAAAAAGAUCCUGCUCACGCUCACUCUUGUGAUUGUUUUAUAAAGAAUUACGGCUGCUUUCAGACGAUCAGCGUUUUGCUCGCGGCUCGCCGUACCGAGCGUUUUUACUGCCAGGUUUAAGCGCGGAUACGCCGUCGAGAUGCACGUGAAAACAUAGAUCGUUCACAGAGCUAGCUCAUCCUGCGUGCGUGCUUCUAAACCUCAGAGCAAAUACGGAGAAGGGUUGCGUAUUGAGUCAUGAUAAGAAAUCAUGAUAAGAUGAUAAACACGGCUACUGAGGAUGAGUGAAGCAGCUGGUGAACGAGUGCUUGGUCAGCUUAUCCUUCAACAUAACAUAAACAUCGGCAUUAUCUUAUUCAUUCUAAUAAUACAAAUACUGUGAUAAAGUCUCUUAUAUCCUCUGCACACACACUCUCUCACACGCGCACACACACACACUACAAUUUCAUGUUCUCGAUUACUGUCUCCCAGCUCCAUUAAGUUGUGUGCACGAGUAACUGUCACGAUAUAAAAAAAAAAACCCUAAAAAGUAAUAUAAUGAUAGGAUGCGCUGGAUAAAGUGCUAUUUUAUAAUCUUCUGGAAGCCAUAUUGUUAAAUGAACCCGAAUCUGCGGUGAUAAAUUACGUCAUACGUUUUUACUGAUGAUAAACGAAUCAACGCACUAAACGAGGCGUUACGUAUGCGAUGUCAAAAGAGUCUCGUAAAAUAACUUUUUACUUUGAAUGUGCCGAGUUUUGAGAGUUUUUAGCGCUGUAGUGUUUAUGCAACGCGAUAAAAUACAUCACAAAAGUUAUUACACACAGCAUGGUAAAGAUCAUUUCUGUUUGGUUUUAUGUGUGUGUGUGUGUGUGUGAGAGAUUUAUUUAGAUAAUGUUUAUGUAUAUUUUAAGUGAAAUCUGAGGAACAAGGUUGCCAGGUCUGCAUAUAAAAUCCACCUAACACCCAAACAAAUGCCAAAUCAGCAUCCUCGUGCAUUAUCUUGUUUAUUAAAUGUAGUAAUUAAUAAAUGAUGUGUAUGAGAGGAAGUCGGGAUGUGUCGGGUGAUUCCAUGGAGAUGAAUCUGAGGGUCAGCUAAUUAUUUUUAUUUUGAUAUAGAGGGUACGCAUGCCACGCCCGCUGAGUGGCAAAGACUCUGAGCGGCAGCAUUAGUGUACAGCGUGAAUUCCACGAAAACACAGAAUAAACACCUCUAAAAUGGGAAAAAGCUGCUGUGCGAUCGCCUGCUAACAGAUUCAACAAGAAUUCAGACCUAUCUUUUUACAGAGUGACAAAAUAGCAUUCAGUCCUUUUUUACUCAGUCGAGCGGUGUAAGUGUAAGAUCUUCUGGCGCGUGGUGUUCAUGGUGUACGAUGAUGAAUAAUUUGCUCCAUAUUUCUUUUUAAACGCUGCCUAUUUCCACUGAUGAAUAACGGAGACUCGUUCAUUCUCCGACUGUGUUUUACUUCACAGAUAUAUAACGUUAGGAAGUGGAAGCAGUGUUAGCUACAAACAAACUAGGACUAGCUAGUCCACAUACCUGUCCACAUACAACCAGAAUGUUUAUUGGUGUUCUUGUCUCUUUAAUUUCUCCAACAAACCCCGCCUUGAAGUAGGACCGAGCGUCAAGGCUUUUGUUUGCCUUCAGGCUUUGCUUAGUGUAUUUCCCCGGCGUCGAAUUCAGGUACAUAUAAAAGUCGGGAAAACCGAUUUCUGGCCACAUGCCAAUGUCCAUGGACCACAGGUUCUUGGGCAAGUUGUGAGGGUCACUGUCGAGUCCAACUGCCUUUCAUUUACGCUGAUAAUCGUGAGUUAUACUAGUGUUUUCACAGCUUCACCUAUUAAAUCCAGCCAUCUUGCUGGAUGUUUUGCCGCUCAGUCGGCCGAGGGGGCGUGUCCCGGUGGGAAAGUGACGCCAGCGCAUACCCUCUAUAGAGAUAUUAAUCAUCUAAAGGACUUAAAAUUCCUGAACCUGGCAACCCUGCAGAAAAGGCUUUCCCGCCUUUUCCUGAUAAAAUGAAAUGAGCGUGUUGCAUUGUGGGAUACGCUAACAAACACACACACACACACACACAGAGCACUAGAUCAGGAAUCUGCACUAUACACUACAGUAGCAGUACUAAUACAGUAACGUCUCAGAUCACGUUAUAAAUAAAUCAAAGAUUUUGCACUAAACUAUAGAACACUUUUCUACAGCUUUAGGACAUCAUGUGAUCACACUGUUCACACUAAAGGUACACCGUUUGAGACACAGCCCAUGACCUGAUAAGAUUCUUCUCUUGUGUUUUAAUUUAAUAAUAAUACUACUACUACUACUACUACUAAUAAUAAUAAUAAUAAUAAUGAUGAUGAUUUCGUGCCACUAUAUUGCGGUGUAUGAAUGUGCACGUCAUGAUUAUUAUGCAACCCUCUCCUCCCUGUUCACUUUCUCCUGUUUCAUUUUGUACAUUGGUUUAAUUCCUAUUUUAUAUUUAAAUGGAAAAAAAAAGAAUAAAAGGCAUUUAUUUUGCAGCAUUCAUGUGUUACAGAGUGGUGAAGUAGCCUGAAGGUUUGGAAUCUGAAUUAUAAUGACAGUAAUUAUACUGCAGAAAAGAAAAUGUGAAGAAGUUGGAGACCAACAAACAUCAAACAUGGUGAAGACUUAUAAAAGUGACGUCUGAAAAAACAAACAAACAAAACAGAAAUGGCUGUACAGUGACUCCAGACUGAUCCACAGUGAUACACUGCAGUUAUUCCCACGUUAUAGCGCCCCCUACUGGCCCAAUGCUAUUUAUACAGCAUGCUGACUUGGGCCGAGUUCACGAGUUUAUUUGAACAGUUGACACUGUCCCAAAGCAGCUUUACAGAAACAUAUAAUUUCAU